AAUUGUUUUCUCUCUCCCCACUUUUUCCUUCACCCCUCGUCACUCCCAAAAUGCCCUAGACGAAAGCCCCCUCCCUCACCUUCUCCUCUCUUCCAGUUCGUGCCCUCCCUUUCGAUUAUUAUACUUCUGGUGUGUUCGACCUGCUUAUGGUUUUUGUUACGAUUCAUUUUCUGGAGUUGUAGUCUUUGCACUUCUGAGUUUGUCCCCAUACUUCUUCCCCCAUCUUCUGCCCUAUGGAAGGUUAAUGCUAAACCACUCCUCAUUGCUGGUGAUUUGAUUCCAAGACUUGGCGACAAAGACUUGCAAUGAGGAGAAGGCUACGACAACAGAGAUGUUCCACAGAAGGAGAUGCCAAUGCAUAGAGUAGGCGAGACGUGCCGGCGAAGAAGAAAAUUGGUGCGAAGUGAAGACCAAAAAUAUGGCCAAGCCAAAGGCAGUGGCGAAACAAAAACGAAGGAAAAUUUUCCUUCAAAAAAUGAAGAAACUCCAGCUCGUAUAAAAGACGAAUUCUUUAAUUGAAUUGAUAACGCGAAAUAAGAACCACUAGAACUUGACGCUCAAAAUAAAAUACUUGGCGUGGAUCAAAGACAACGCCGUCUAUUUAAAAGAAAUUUUAGAAGAAGAAGAAGAAGAAGACAAAGUAAAUCAAUUUGCAGUAUUAACUGAAAUUUAUCGAACACUCCGAGGCAAGAUCUGAAGUUGCUUCAGAUGAAGAGGUCAACUGUCUCUGAGGAGGAGUGACGAAACGCGGCAUAGCCGGAACGAGGGAAUGGUUGACUAGAAGAUCAGACCAAAUACGAGUGAGCCAGAGACGAAACGAAGAUGACGACAUUGGCUAGCAAAUAAAACUAGAGAUGAGAGUAGAGAGCUUCAAAGUCACUCUGAAGUGCGAAGCUCCAGAUCGGCAAUCAGUGCAACUAAAAAAAUCAAAGAAAACAGAGAUACCGAGUCGUAUUCUAACACGGGUGCCGGAAUAAGGACACCAGAGCCUGAGAAGUAGCCAAAAAACCCAAGGCCGCAAGAGGACCUGUAGAGGAAGACGACAAGAAGCUCGACGGAGAAACCAAGAACUCUUCGCAGGGAACAAUGACAUGCAAGAGUGAUUCUUGCUUGGAAAAUUGAAGCUGAAAAACAAGGAUAUUUUACCCAAGAUGAGUGGCGAAGAUACUUGAAGGCUCUGCAAGUUGGCUUCCUCAACAAGUUAAAGAAAUCACUUCUUGAAACUGAGAGAGAGUGGAAAAUGCUCGCGAGAGGAUCUUUUCGGAGGCAAUGAAAAUAGGCAAUUUUGAACUUCAAAUUGGAAAGAGUUGAAGAUUUCAAAGAGUACGAACUCUGCAACAACGUUAUGAUCUACGAUCAAUGAAAUACAGAAGGUAUAUUCGAGUUUUUCUUCAUUUCUCCAAAAAAAUGGUCGGGAUUUGCAAGCAAAUCGCGAGACCAGAACAAUCAACGGAGCCAGAUGAGCAAUGCUCUGAGAGGUGAACACCGACUUGCACAUACAAAUUGUGAUGAUCUGAGAUAGCUUCAGAGAGAAGCGAGUCGCACUCCAAGAUUCAGCGAUCCAGCAAGAUUCAGAGAUGAAAAGGCAUAAAAAGAAGAAACGAAAAGUAGAUAUGCAAAGAACGAUCGACAAACAGCGGGGAGAAGUGCGUUCGGAUGGACAAGCUCGAGAGACUAAGCGAAAUCAGUGAUUCGUACGAUCCAGUUGCCGAGUUUAAGGAGCCAGAGAACAAGCGAUCUUCCGAUGAAGCCUCGGUGGCUGAAGACAACGCAGGUCUUGUGGCUUUCAUUCCUAGCGACGAAGAACGGUUUGUCAAUCGCCAUUCGCAAGUGAAGAGAGAGAACCACAGAGAGCAGUAGCGGAAAAUUGCUCUGAUACCAUGUUAAAUAAAUAAAUUAUAUAUAUUCCGGAAUUGAUGAAAAGUUCUCUUUA